AGUGAACGCUGGCGGCGUGCCUAAUACAUGCAAGUCGAACGGAAUUUAAGAGAGCUUGCUCUUUUAAAUUUAGUGGCGCACGGGUGAGUAAUAUAUAGCUAAUCUGCCCCUUGCUGGAGGACAACAGUUGGAAAUGACUGCUAAUACUCCAUACUCCUUUUUACCAUAAGAUAAAUCGGGAAAGAAUUUCGGCAAGGGAUGAGACUAUAUCGUAUCAGCUAGUCGGUGGGGUAACGGCCUACCGAGGCUAUGACGCGUAACUGGUCUGAGAGGAUGAUCAGUCACAUUGGAACUGAGACACGGUCCAAACUCCUACGGGAGGCAGCAGUAGGGAAUAUUGCGCAAUGGGGGAAACCCUGACGCAGCAACGCCGCGUGGAGGAUGACACUUUUCGGAGCGUAAACUCCUUUUGUUAGGGAAGAAUAAUGACGGUACCUAACGAAUAAGCACGGUA
rnacentral:rRNA from 1 species